UUCACCACCGGCAGAACUCGG
rnacentral:miRNA from 1 species